rnacentral:rRNA from 1 species
GUGACCUCAAAUCAGGUAGGACUACCCGCUGAACUUAAGCAUAUCAAUAAGCGGAGGAAAAGAAACUAACAAGGAUUCCCCUAGUAACUGCGAGUGAAGCGGGAAAAGCUCAAAUUUAAAAUCUGACAGUCUUUGGCUGUCCGAGUUGUAAUCUAGAGAAGUGUUAUCCGCGCUGGACCGUGUACAAGUCUCCUGGAAUGGAGCGUCAUAGAGGGUGAGAAUCCCGUCUUUGACACGGACUACCAGGGCUUUGUGAUGCGCUCUCAAAGAGUCGAGUUGUUUGGGAAUGCAGCUCAAAAUGGGUGGUAAAUUCCAUCUAAAGCUAAAUAUUGGCGAGAGACCGAUAGCGAACAAGUACCGUGAGGGAAAGAUGAAAAGAACUUUGGAAAGAGAGUUAAACAGUACGUGAAAUUGCUGAAAGGGAAACGCUUGAAGUCAGUCGCGUUGUCCAGGGAUCAACCUUGCUUUUGCUUGGUGCACUUUCUGGUUGACGGGUCAGCAUCAAUUUUGACCAUUGGAAAAAGAUUAAGGGAAUGUGGCAUCUUUGGAUGUGUUAUAGCCCUUGGUUGCAUACGAUGGUUGGGAUUGAGGAACUCAGCACGCCGCAAGGCCGGGUUUAACCACGUACGUGCUAGAUGCUGC